rnacentral:rRNA from 1 species
ACACAUGCAAGUCGGACGGUAACAUUGGUGCUUGCACCAGAUGACGAGUGGCGCACGGGUGAGUAACGCGUAUAGUACCUACCCUAUAGUAGGGGAUAGCCCAGGGAAACUUGGAUUAAUACCCUAUGGCACCCCCCUGGCACAUGCCGGGGGGGUUAAAGAUCUAUCGCUAUAGGAUGGCUAUGCGUCCCAUUAGCUUGUUGGUGGGGCAACGGCCCACCAAGGCACCGAUGGGUAGGGGUCCUGAGAGGGAGACCCCCCACACUGGUACUGAGACACGGACCAGACUCCUACGGGAGGCAGCAGUGAGGAAUAUUGGACAAUGGGCGCAGGCCUGAUCCAGCCAUGCCGCGUGCAGGAAGACGGCCCUACGGGUUGUAAACUGCUUUUGUACGGGAAGAAUAAGGGCCACGUGUGGCCCGAUGACGGUACCGUAAGAAUAAGCACCGGCUAACUCCGUGCCAGCAGCCGCGGUAAUACGGAGGGUGCAAGCGUUAUCCGGAAUCAUUGGGUUUAAAGGGUCCGUAGGUGGGCCCUUAAGUCAGUGGUGAAAUCCUGCGGCUCAACCGCAGGACUGCCAUUGAUACUGAGGGCCUUGAAUUGUUGUGAAGUGGCUGGAAUAUGUG